UUAAAGGAUUUACUUAAAUCCACAUUAAAUCCUCAAAUUGCAUUAU
rfam:Astyanax mexicanus Tnplaced_Scaffold_223, whole genome shotgun sequence.